AUUGAACGCUGGCGGCAGGCCUAACACAUGCACGUCGAACGAGUGGCGGACGGGUGAGUAAUGUCUGGGAAACUGCCCGAUGGAGGGGGAUAACUACUGGAAACGGUAGCUAAUACCGCAUACCAUCGGAUGUGCCCAGAUGGGAUUAGCUAGUAGGUUGGGUAACGGCUCACCUAGGCGACGAUCCCUAGCUGGUCUGAGAGGAUGACCAGCAAAACUGGAACUGUGACACGGUCCAGACUCCUACGGUAGGCAGAAUUGGGGAAUAUUGCACCAUGGGCGCAAGCCUGAUGCAGCAGUGCCGCGUGUAUGAAGAAGGCCUUCGGGUUGUAAAGUACUUUCAGCGAGGAGGCGUUACUCGCAGAAGAAGCACCGGCUAACUCCGUGCCAGCAGCCGCGGUAAUUC
rnacentral:rRNA from 1 species